UUGGAAUGUGCAUUUCGUGCAUGGACCGUACUGCAUGAUGCUAGCGCUAGCACGCGGCCGUGGGCGGGACUCCAUUUUUAAGAGCAUCGCUCCCCGUAUCCCACAAAAGUGACAACAUGGCGUCGGCCUCUUGCUACUAGUUGGCACCUCUGUGAGUUGCAACCGACAAAAGCUCGCAGAAAUUAUCCCUCCGGAAAUGUUGUUCCAUCUUCCACUGAGAAACAACGGUUGACAAAGGUAUAGCUGCUUCUCCCGUAAGUUCUCUGUUCUGCAACACAAGGUGAGUUCCAAAGAAACUUCUGGGUUUGGGACAGCAGCAAACUGCACAAUCGGAAAGGGGACCAACAUGGCACCACUGAUGUCUGAGAUGUCACUACUGACGUCCAAGAUGUCACCACCGAUGUCCAAGAGAGUGGCUCCCUACCUGCUUGAAUUCUCACUUUCAAGACUGGAUGAACACAUCUUGGCUCGAGCAAAUCCAUGGCAGUGGCUUUUGGGCAAUUCUUAAUUUCUGCUAAUCAGUUUUUGCCUCAAUUAGUGUGCAAAUCAAAUUUAAAAGUGAUCACGUCACAUUUCUUGUGAUGAAUUGGUCGUGGUCAAUUCAAGCCGGAAACAAACUCAAUUCGGACAAAGAUCACAAAAAGUGAAGACUUCAACUUGGUGUUGAAUAUGCCAGUGUUGGUAUAUCAACAACUUAAAUUUAGUCAGUGACUGAAUACAUUGGUUUCCAUGGAUUUGCUCUAAAUGUUAAUCAUGUCGUGAGUUAGAUUUGAACCAGGCGCGUGUAGUUCACUCAAAGAAUGCUGUAAUUGUUUUACCUUUCUAAAUAUUUGGACAUGUCCAUACCCCUUCAUCUCCAUUCAGUUGGCAGGAUCAAUCUAAUAAUCCUGUUGGGCAUUUUAACUUGAUGAUUCUGACACGCGCCUGGUUCAGUUUUUGUAUCUGGAAAAAUUUGAAGUACUUUGGAUAGUUUUAUACUUUGUAUAAAUGAAAUCUACACCAGCACAUCAUAUCAUGUAAUUACUUUCAAGAAAAACUGGACUGAGUUAAAGUUGUGCAUAAAACACAUAAAUUACUUGCAUUGCAUGAAAGCACCUGUUUGGUUACUUACCUUUCAGAGUUGGAUACAUAGCGGUUUUUAGUUGGAAUGUAAAGUGUGAAAUACAUACAAGCUUGCAUAUGAAACAGCUAUAUCUUUUUCAGUUAAUGUUUCAAGUGAAUUUGUGAAUUGCACUACAGCAGUAUUAGAUUGUAAAUUUCUUUGUAAUGAUACAAAGGGGCAGCCUGCACUGCAAAUUUACAUGUAGAAAGUUAAGUGAUCCUGUUUCAAAAACUUUGAGACUGCCCCCUUAUACAGUCGCCUCAAGACAUCUGUAUUUAUUCACGUAUGCAGCACCUGGUGAUGUCAAACAGCUUUUGCUUCACUUAUUUGCAAACUCUUGAAUUGCCGUCAUGUGUUUUUCUUUGGUCUUUACCACAAAUUCAGUUUAAACGGACUUAUAGAUUAACAUAGACUCUUUUCAUUUGUUAAUGAUGUGCUGGUGUAGAUUUAUCUGUAUUGCUGGAUGAAAAAACUGGGUUUUUUUUGUUUUUUGGACACUUAUUUUGUGUUAGAGUUCCUGCUGCCUGUUUCAGGAGUUUGCAGAACAAUACAGUCGACUUCAACGAUGCUCACAAAACUGGAAAUUUAUUGAAAUAAAAAUUAAAAAAAAACUGUAAAUGACGUUAGGAAAAUAGUCGUACUUGAAAAUAGCCCAGCUUUUUAAAACUUGCAUGUGUUUCAACAUUUAUAGGAUAAAACAUUUUUCGUUCUGCAAAAAAAAACUGAAACAGGCAGCAGUCUUAUUUUUCAUUGCGUUUUUUUUUGGGGGGGGGCUUGUGUCCAUCUGUAAAUGCACACUGCACCAAGGUGUCAUUCUCAUGAGUGUACAAAACAUACUCUACAUGAAGGGGUUUAUUAUGUGUUUGUUUAUAUUUGAAUAGCUUUUAUUCCUGUUUGUGUUUUCUUUGUAUCCAAAGAAAGGUCAAAGGAAAAAAAAUGGUGUUCUGUACACUCAUGAAAUUGAUGAACCCCAGCCUUAAGUAUUGAAUUAACGUAGGUUUUUUAAAUUGACAGGGAAAAUGUAAAGUGCCUACUUCAAGUACAUGUAACUUUACAAGUGUAGUUGCAGAUCAGCAUAUUGAAGGAGCGCCCUCAAUUUCAAUUUAGUCUUGGCACAGUAUACAUGUUGGGACUUUGUGUUCACCAUUUUUUUCAUAAGUUGGAAUAAAGUACAAUGUACAAGACAGAGAAAUUUGCAUAAGCUUUUUUUGU